UACGUAGGGGGCUAGCGUUGUCCGGAAUCAUUGGGCGUAAAGCGCGUGUAGGCGGCCCGGUAAGUCCGCUGUGAAAGUCGGGGGCUCAACCCUCGGAUGCCGGUGGAUACUGUCGGGCUCGAGUACGGAAGAGGCGAGUGGAAUUCCUGGUGUAGCGGUGAAAUGCGCAGAUAUCAGGAGGAACACCAAUGGCGAAGGCAGCUCGCUGGGACGUUACUGACGCUGAGACGCGAAAGCGUGGGGAGCAAACAGG
rnacentral:rRNA from 1 species